rnacentral:lncRNA from 1 species
UCCAGGCUAUGGAGCCGCUCAGCGAGGCUGAGAGCUACACCCUGUCCUGCCAGCUGGAGCCCCAGUCCUAGCUGGUCAGCAGCACUCAAGAAGGAGAAGAACUGGCCGCAGUCAACCUCAGGGCUGAGCAAGUGUCCAGUGGCCCUGCAGGGAUUCCUCAGCAGCUGGGGAUUUGUGGUGCAUGCGCCCCAUAUGCUCCACACCCCUUCCUCCCAUCUAUUUAGUUAUUUGACGGGGGGCAAUAUUUAUUCUCUUAAAUAGUAAAUGGUAAAUUCAAAUAUUAUUAUAUUAAAGCCCUUUUUUCUUUUUGAGCCCGAGAGUGUGGUUUGGUUCUUUUACUUCCUACAGUAACGUAAAAGAUUCAUUCCUGAACUGAGGAAUCUUAAAGCGUCAUCAGCUAUUGUAUGUGGGAGGAAGGAGAAGAGCCAGUCCUCCUCCCUAGCUACUGGAGGGUAACCCCAAAUCCCCUUUACUCAGAGGACAGGUUCAUUUCAGUACAAUGAAUUUGGGCAAACAGCAAAGGCAGCCCCUCAGAACUCCUGAGAUUUAGAGGUUGAAGGUACUUUCACAGAAAUAGCAACAACCACUGAAAGUGGGAGUCUUUAAGAGUCACACUCCCCAGAACUACUUCCUGCCCAGGACAGGAGCUGCUUUUUUCCACUCUAAAGGAAGGAGGACUAUUUCCUGCUUCCUUUGUUGACGUGGUGUUUUUGUUUUGUUUUUGUUUUGACCCAGUAUCAAGAACUUGUAGUUUUCUAGUUCAAUCUAUGGAAUUGCACCAGCACUAAGUGGGGAAAAACAUGUAAAGAGAUCAAAUCCUGCAUGUGGAAGGGACAAAGCCAGAGGAAAGUAAUUUGCAAAUAGACUGAGGGCAGGAAGGACUUGCCAUCCUCAGUCUCCCUCUAGGGGCUCCAGGUUCACCAUUUACUAAGACUGGAAUCCUUCUGGGAUCCUUGUCAAUGAUCUCUGGAUUCCUAUUCCUGCUUGUUUUGUGUAUGGGGAAAAGAUGGGAGGUGUACUUUAAGGCCACAGCUAAGCCUG